AAACCAGCACCUCAAGUGGUCAGGAGGAUUAUUGGGCCUAAAGCAUCCGUAGCCGGCUCUGUAAGUUUUCGGUUAAAUCUGUACGCUCAACGUACAGGCUGCUGGGAAUACUGCAGAGCUAGGGAGUGGGAGAGGUAGACGGUACUCGGUAGGAAGGGGUAAAAUCCUUUGAUCUAUUGAUGACCACCUGUGGCGAAGGCGGUCUACCAGAACACGUUCGACGGUGAGGGAUGAAAGCUGGGGGAGCAAACCGGAUUAGAAACCCGAGUAGUCC
rnacentral:rRNA from 1 species